rnacentral:rRNA from 1 species
GAUGGACGCUGGCGGCGUGCUUAACACAUGCAAGUCGAACGGAAAGGCUCCUGCUUGCCGGGGUUCUCGAGUGGCGAACGGGUGAGUAACACGUGGGUGAUCUGCCCCGCACUUCGGGAUAAGCCUGGGAAACUGGGUCUAAUACCGGAUAGGACGAUGGUUUGGAUGUCAUUGUGGAAAGUUUUUCGGUGUGGGUUGAGCUCGCGGCCUAUCAGCCUGUUGGUGGGGUAAUGGCUUACCAAGGCGCCGACGGGUACCCGGCCUGAGGGGGUGUACGGCCGCAUUGGGACUGAGAGGCGGCCCAGACGCCGAAGGGGGGCAGAAGGGGGGAAUAUUGCACGAAGGACGCAAGCCUGAUGCAGGAACGCCGCGGGGGGGAAAACGGACUUCGGGUUGGAAACGCAUUUCGCUAGGGACGAGGCGUUUUGUGACGGUACCUGAAGAAGAAGCACCGGCUAACUACGUG